rnacentral:rRNA from 1 species
UCUAGCUUGCUAGAAGUGGAUUAGUGGCGCACGGGUGAGUAAAAUGCAUAGGUUAUGUGCCCCAUAGUCGGGGAUAGCCACUGGAAACGGUGAUUAAUACCGGAUACUCCUUACGAGGGAAAGUUUUUCGCUAUGGGAUCAGCCUAUGUCCUAUCAGCUUGUUGGUGAGGUAAUGGCUCACCAAGGCUAUGACGGGUAUCCGGCCUGAGAGGGUGAACGGACACACUGGAACUGAGACACGGUCCAGACUCCUACGGGAGGCAGCAGUAGGGAAUAUUGCUCAAUGGGCGAAAGCCUGAAGCAGCAACGCCGCGUGGAGGAUGAAGGUUUUAGGAUGUAAACU